rnacentral:misc_RNA from 1 species
CUACAAAGAGCCACUUCUCUCUCCCUCUCUGUGCAACUCGCACGCUCCUUCAUACUUAUAAUCUCACGCCACUAUAUAUUGGCAAAUCUCCUUACUCUCACUGUCCCUCUCUCUCUCUCUCUCUAGGUUUUCAAAUUCCUUUAGCUACUAGAGAGAGAGUUUUCAGCUGAUUCAAAAAAGUAGAUUCAGAUCCUCUACUUUCGAACCAGAUCAUAACUCGGAUCCGAUCCCCCUCAAAAACUCGCGGAUUUUUCAACCAGAGAUCCGUAAUUUUUUGAAUAAUUUUCCAUUUUUAUUUCAAGGGAAACUUCUCUCUCUCUAUAUAUAUCUUUUAAGCUCUUUAUUAUGUUUUGAUUUGUCAGCUUUAUGAGCCUAGUAGAUUAAAAGGUAAGAUGUCAAUUUGUUUAUGAUUAUGUAGGGAUGUGCUUGAUUGAUUUGGUUUCCUUUCUUGCAUCCUUAGACAGACAUCCUGUUUUGUAGCUGAGGUAACCCAGAAAAUAUGAGGAAACAAGAAUCAAAAUUUUGCGUAUAUCCAUGCUUGUCUUUGUCUCUCUGCAUACAUCAAUCUAAUUUGAAGAUAAUGCAGCUCAAUUGUGCUAGUUAGUGUUAUUAAUUUUCUCAAGCUAAUGCUGAUUUUAGUUUUUAAAGUAAAUUUUCCCACACCACCAAAAGAAAACCUUCAAAUUUGAAUUCCCAGCACUGCGUUUGAACUGUUCACGACAUUUCAAUUUGAUGAUCAUUAGAGAACAUCUGGUAUCGUUUGGAAAUCUUUUAUUGUUGAGGAAAAUGUUGAUUCUAGCGUCAAAUGAACAAUUCAUGAAGAGGAAAAAAAGAAGAAGGAAGGAUUAGUGUCCUUUUUUCAUACAGAAUAGGCCAUACUUGAAUCCAUUAACUUAUUUUAUACUGAUUUCAUAAAAAUUUGGGGUGUAAAUUUGAUCAUAACAGUUGGUUUUCGUGAUGUUGUUGGCAGCUACUUCCUUAAUUAGAGAUCUGGCUUUGAAGGUCAGACUGGUCUAUUUAGAUGACAUGCAAUACCUGCAUAAGGAGUGUGAUUGCUCAAGGCGGAAUAUUUUCCAAAGCAAGGUCUCAGUUGAGCAAUAUCAGGAGGGAUUUACAUGCGGGUCUCCACCUAGGUUAUCCAUUAAAACUUAAGUUGGCAAUAAAUCUAAGUAUGAUGGUCGAUUCAGGCUCAACAGCAAAACGAGGACCUGUUGUUGAUGUGCUCGCAGAGAAAGAUGAUGAUGGCGGAUGUGUUAGUGGAGAGUGGAAAAGUGAAGACGGCAAACUGAGCUGCGGGUAUUCAAGUUUCAGGGGAAAGAGAGCAACCAUGGAGGAUUUUUAUGAUAUUAAACAUACUAAGAUUGAUGGGCAAACAGUCUGCAUGUUUGGAAUCUUUGAUGGUUUGAUGCCCUGAUCUCUUUGAAUGAACUUUACCAAUUUAUAUGUGUUAUGAAUGACUAUCUAUUUUUGACUCGAGGUAGAAGGUACAUUACCUGGUGAUAGAGCAAAAACUGAUGUAUUAGAAUAAUUAGUGUGUUAAUGUUUAACAAUCUUUAGAUGGUAACUAUGAUGUGUGCAAGGGAUGUAUAAACAUGUGGAACCUAUUUAUUCAUUUCUUUAAAAUACAGUUGUAGCCAUUAAUCACUUACAGCUAGGAAGUUGCAUAAACAGACAGUAGACAAAUUGAUUGGUAUCUAACCUGCUGUGUGAUUUAUUUAAGGAAAGGAAUAUAUAAGUGCUUCUCAAAAAAUGGUGUAACUGUUGGAGCAGUCUACAUGAUCUAAUCAUUUUGCCAUUUCAGCUUUGGAUAAGUUGAACUAAUAUCUUCAUGCUUUUCUUUUAUAGCCAGGACUGUUUUUAUAAGAGUAAAGCAUUAUGUUUUCUUUCUUUCUCUUUCUUCUUCUUCAUCUUUACAAUUGUGUAUGUGAGUGUGUAGAAUGGUUUCAUUUUAACUACUUUGAUGCAUCAUUCUAGGUCAUGGUGGUUCCCGUGCUGCUGAGUAUUUGAAGGAGCACCUAUUUGAUAAUCUGAUGAAGCGUCCACAAUUCAUGGAAAAUCCCAAAUUGGCAAUAAGUGAAACAUAUCAACAGACUGAUGUGGACUUUUUGGACUCUGAAAAGGAUACAUAUCGUGAUGAUGGUUCUACUGCUUCAACAGCAGUAUUAGUUGGUAACCAUCUAUAUGUUGCCAAUGUUGGAGAUUCUCGAACUGUGAUAUCAAAAGCUGGAAAAGCAAUUCCUCUCUCUGAAGAUCAUAAACCAAACAGAAGUGAUGAAAGGAAGAGAAUUGAAAGUGCUGGGGGAGUAGUAAUGUGGGCAGGUAAACAUUUUUUAAAUUUGGUUUUUGUUUCUAUCUUCUUCUUUGGGCUAUGAUUUUACUUUUCAAGCAUCAGACUGAGCUGCAAGUGGUGAUUAACCGUUCAGUGGAUCUGACUUUUGAUGUAGACAUUUUGGAAUAGUACUCUGUAAAAGGAAGAGAUUUGACACUUAAAAAGAUGAAAGCCUUUGCAAUCUGGAUGUCAGGGACAAUCUAAUUGGGUUAAAUUUUGGCAUGAUUUUUAUUGGAUGAGUCCAAAUGAUAGGUGGGGUGUCCUCUACAUGAAUAAGUUCUCUUAUUGCCAAGUUAUCUUAUGUCCUAGGCUCCUAGCUGACGAUUAUAAAUGCUUUCAACAAUCUAAUCAUUUGGGCAAGGGUUUGAGACAAUAUAAGUGUGAUCUUGAGUGUUGUAUUGUAACUAGAGCAAAUAUGAAUUUGCGAUGUGCAUCUCUCAUCCAGAGAUUCUCAACCAAUCAACUGCAAACCUGAAUAAGUCAAGAAACCUGCUAUUCAUUGUAUAAGCUGCUUGAUCAACAGAUAUAACAGAAUGCUGUCUAGCCUGAUCCAAUGAUUCCAAACAAUUCCAACUACAAAGGAACAAAUUACCUUUUUCUCUCACCGUGUUCAUCCUUGCAUGGAUUUUCAGCAGCAGCCUCAGUUUACAUAUCAGAUAAUAUUCAUCCAUUUGUAGAGGACUAUUGUACUUUAUUUUUUCUUUUAGCUACAUUAUUCGAUUUAGGAUAAUUUUGAAUAAGUUGUUCAUAAAAGUCAAAUCAUGCAUACUGCCUUAAUUGUAUUGUCAGGCACCUGGAGGGUAGGAGGUGUAUUAGCUAUGUCACGUGCUUUUGGUAACCGCAUGUUGAAGCAAUUUGUUGUAGCAGAACCUGAGAUACAGGUAAUAUUUGAUAUUUUAUCUUUGAAUAGCGCAAAUCUCCCAUUAUAUUAAUUUUUAACAAUGAAUGUUUGAUGUUGUAAUAAAAAAUUUUCUGCUUUGGGCAUCGAGCAUUUGAUAUUAAUGAGGAAUGUGUACAGUGAGAGAAUCAUGUCAACAAAUGGUGGAAAAUCUGUUGAUUUUGUGUUUUUGUUGUAGGAAAAUGUUAUGAUUGCAAAAUAAUCUUCUAAACUGUCAAUAUUUGAGUGGAAAGGAUGGUAUUUAAAUUAAAAGUUACCUUGGCUAGUUUUUGUUAAACAUUUAAUUAUAUAUUGGAGUUAGUUUUUCUGCAGCACUGAAAAUUCAAAAACAAAAAGGAAAAGCAAACCCUAAAACGAUUGAAGCCCCUCCUAUUGCACAAGUAUUAGACUCUGACAUUGGCAGCCAUUUAAAAUAAAAAAUUUUCCUUGUGCCUGUCUACAAGGCUCAGAAUCAAUUCUACAUGUGCUACAGUUCAAGGGGUGGGGAACGCCUGCCUUUGCUGCUUAGAAAAAGCACUGGCAUCCCAAAAAUUAGUCGACGUAACAUCCCCUCUUGUUUCCUAUUAUACUUUCAUGACACUGUUGGUAUUUGUAGCAGCUUCUUGAAGGAAUUCUGGAUAUGAUAGCUUUAUUUAUGUGUCUUGCGGAAGCUCAUUCUAGGAUGUAACAUAAAAGGUUCCUUGCUUAUCAUAGGUCUAAUUGUAUGUCAUUUUGCUAAUUGCAAUUCACCAGGCAUAGAUCAGCAAAAUUAUGUUCUUUCUUCCUUUCAGGAUCUGAAAAUAGAUGAAGAAUUUGAAUU